AGUUAGCCUAACCGCAAGGAGGGGCGAUUGCCACGGUGAGAUUCAUGACUGGGGUG
rnacentral:rRNA from 1 species